GACAGAGUGGCGGAGCGGUCUAACGCGUUAGACUCAAGCGAAAGCUUGCCACUGCAAUCAGUGGCCAACUCGAGUAUUCUAAUCCUCGAAUGAGGGCGUGAGUUCGAAUCUCACCUCUGUCA
rnacentral:tRNA from 1 species